rnacentral:lncRNA from 1 species
CAAAACCUUUCUUUUCUAAACAACAAGUUCUCACCAUUUCAGGGAAGAGAAACAAGUAGAAACCAUGUAACCCACACAAAAACAGGAUGUGGUUUCUGCAUAGACGGUUGCUGCAAAGAAAGUAAAGAAAAAAACUAAUUGAUUUGGUUUUCUCUCAAGCACUUCAAGAGGGCAUUCCGAAAUCGUUUAAUUUCGGAUCUUACUUGCCGAAAUCGCUUACCGCUUAAAUUCGGAUUCUAUCUUCCGAAAUCGCUUAAAUUCGGAACCGUGCAACAUCAGAACAACAACCUCAGUUACGGUGCUUCUUUUUAUCCUGCGUGUUAGUAGUGGAGAAGAAGAAACUGGAAAGACAGUUGGAUCUACAUCUCCUUUUUCAAUCCUCCAUCACUUCCUCCUUUAUUAUAACAACCACCAUCUCCUUGUUAUGUUCAAUUUCAUCCAUAAACACAAAGUUCUUCAUUCCAUUUUUCUUCUUCCAAACACAACCUGAAAUCCUUCUUAUUCGGUAAUCACAAACCGAAAUCGCUCUAAUUCGGUAAUUACGAACCGAAAUCGCUCUGAUUCGGUAAUUACGAACCGAAACACUAGGAAGAAGGGACAUCGAUGGUCCUGGCAUGGCAGAAGAAGGAAAUCUAUGGUUUCCAAACCUAUCGAUUCUUCUCUCGUACUGCAUAAGUUAGUUUUUCAUUCCCGUUUUCUUCUUCCAAACACAGUUCCGGAUCUAAAUCUAUGUUUUUCAUACCCAAACAAAUUGAUGAAGUGAAAAAUUGAAGGUGGAAUUAGAGAUAAAAUUGAUGAGAUUGAAAAAAUUGAAGGUGGAGUUAGAGAUGAAAUUGAAGGUGGAGUAAGAUUUCAAACUAUUCUCUCUCGUUUUCUUGCUCCAUCUCAUGUGAUUAUGAUGUUGAACAAUGGAUUUGAUUUUGUUUUGAAUUCCAUGAAUUUUUGUCCAGUUCGGUUUCUAACUACCGAAUCCAAUUUAAAGAAGAUACGUGAUUUCGGGUUGCAGGUUCCAAACUGGUUACAAGGGCAAAAUGGUGAACAUGGGGGGCCUGGGAGCAUAAUAGGAGGGCCUAAAAAGCAAUUUUCAA